UUCGCUGACGAGUGGCGGACGGGUGAGUAAUGUCUGGGAAACUGCCUGAUGGAGGGGGAUAACUACUGGAAACGGUAGCUAAUACCGCAUAACGUCGCAAGACCAAAGAGGGGGACCUUCGGGCCUCUUGCCAUCGGAUGUGCCCAGAUGGGAUUAGCUAGUAGGUGGGGUAACGGCUCACCUAGGCGACGAUCCCUAGCUGGUCUGAGAGGAUGACCAGCCACACUGGAACUGAGACACGGUCCAGACUCCUACGGGAGGCAGCAGUGGGGAAUAUUGCACAAUGGGCGCAAGCCUGAUGCAGCCAUGCCGCGUGUAUGAAGAAGGCCUUCGGGUUGUAAAGUACUUUCAGCGGGGAGGAAGGGAGUAAAGUUAAUACCUUUGCUCAUUGACGUUACCCGCAGAAGAAGCACCGGCUAACUCCGUGCCAGCAGCCGCGGUAAUACGGAGGGUGCAAGCGUUAAUCGGAAUUACUGGGCGUAAAGCGCA
rnacentral:rRNA from 1 species